UACAGAGGUCCCGAGCGUUGUUCGGAUUCACUGGGCGUAAAGGGUGCGUAGGCGGUUCUGAAAGUCUGAUGUGAAAUCUCCAGGCCCAACCUGGAAACUGCAUUAGAAACUACAGGGCUAGAGGCUUGGAGGGGGAACUGGAAUUCUCGGUGUAGCAGUGAAAUGCGUAGAGAUCGAGAGGAACACCAGUGGCGAAGGCGAGUUCCUGGACAAGUCCUGACGCUGAGGCACGAAAGCGUGGGGAGCAAACAGG
rnacentral:rRNA from 1 species